CCAGACUCCUACGGGAGGCAGCAGUAGGGAAUCUUCGGCAAUGGACGAAAGUCUGACCGAGCAACGCCGCGUGAGUGAAGAAGGUUUUCGGAUCGUAAAACUCUGUUGGUAGAGAAGAACGUUGGUGAGAGUGGAAAGCUCAUCAAGUGACGGUAACUACCCAGAAAGGGACGGCUAACUACGUGCCAGCGGCCGCGGUAAUACGUAGGUCCCGAGCGUUGUCCGGAUUUAUUGGGCGUAAAGCGAGCGCAGGUGGUUUAUUAAGUCUGGUGUAAAAGGCAGUGGCUCAACCAUUGUAUGCAUUGGAAACUGGUAGACUUGAGUGCAGGAGAGGAGAGUGGAAUUCCAUGUGUAGCGGUGAAAUGCGUAGAUAUAUGGAGGAACACCGGUGGCGAAAGCGGCUCUCUGGCCUGUAACUGACACUGAGGCUCGAAAGCGUGGGGAGCAAACAGGAUUAGAUACCCUGGUAGUCCACGCCGUAAACGAUGAGUGCUAGAUGUAGGGAGCUAUAAGUUCUCUGUAUCGCAGCUAACGCAAUAAGCACUCCGCCUGGGGAGUACGACCGCAAGGUUGAAACUCAAAGGAAUUGACGGGGGCCCGCACGAGAAGGG
rnacentral:rRNA from 1 species